UGCCCAGCUAUUUAUAUUCCUACCUCCUCGAGGUACUGGCCGGGGUACGAGUAACCUUAGGGAAGAUCGGGUAACCAACCGCGGUGGGAACUCUGGUCGUAUGCUGACAGGGAAGG
rnacentral:ribozyme from 1 species